AGGGAAUCUUCCGCAAUGGACGAAAGUCUGACGGAGCAACGCCGCGUGAGUGAUGAAGGUUUUCGGAUCGUAAAACUCUGUUGUUAGGGAAGAACAAGUACCGUUCGAAUAGGGCGGUACCUUGGCGGUACCUAACCAGAAAGCCACGGCUAACUACGUGCCAGCAGCCGCGGUAAUACGUAGGUGGCAAGCGUUGUCCGGAAUUAUUGGGCGUAAAGCGCGCGCAGGCGGUCUUUUAAGUCUGAUGUGAAAGCCCACGGCUCAACCGUGGAGGGUCAUUGGAAACUGGAAGACUUGGGUGCAGAAGAGGAGAGUGGAAUUCCACGUGUAGCGGUGAAAUGCGUAGAGAUGUGGAGGAACACCAGUGGCGAAGGCGACUCUCUGGUCUGUAACUGACGCUGAGGCGCGAAAGCGUGGGGAGCAAAC
rnacentral:rRNA from 1 species